GGUUGGUCCGAUGGCAGUGGGUUAUCAGAACUUACUAACAUUAGUGUCACUAAAGUUGGUAUACCCCCCCACUGCUAAAUUUGACUAGCUUUAA
ensembl:misc_RNA Y_RNA Y RNA